rnacentral:rRNA from 1 species
AUUGAACGCUGGCGGCAGGCCUAACACAUGCAAGUCGAGCGGAUGAAGGGAGCUUGCUCCUGGAUUCAGCGGCGGACGGGUGAGUAAGUCCUAGGAAUUUGCCGGGCGUAGGGGACUACGGUCGGGAAAGGGGCCCUAAACCCGCAACGGUCCGGAGGGGGAACGGGGGGGUUCUUGGGACCUAACCCUUUCGGCUGACCCUAGGUCGGAUUAGCUAGUUGGUGGGGUAAAGGCCUACCAAGGCGACGAUCCGUAACGGGUCUGAGAGGAUGAUCAGUCACACUGGAACUGAGACACGGUCCAGACUCCUACGGGAGGCAGCAGUGGGGAAUAUUGGGCAAUGGGCGAAAGCCUGAUCCAGCCAUGCCGCGUGUGUGAAGAAGGUCUUCGGAUUGUAAAGCACUUUAAGUUGGGAGGAAGGGCAGUAAGUUAAUACCUUGCUGUUUUGACGUUACCAACAGAAUAAGCACCGGCUAACUUCGUG